rnacentral:rRNA from 1 species
GACGAACGCUGGCGGCGUGCUUAACACAUGCAAGUCGAACGGAAAGGCCCUGCUUUUGUGGGGUGCUCGAGUGGCGAACGGGUGAGUAACACGUGAGUAACCUGCCCUUGACUUUGGGAUAACUUCAGGAAACUGGGGCUAAUACCGGAUAGGAGCUCCUGCUGCAUGGUGGGGGUUGGAAAGUUUCGGCGGUUGGGGAUGGACUCGCGGCUUAUCAGCUUGUUGGUGGGGUAGUGGCUUACCAAGGCUUUGACGGGUAGCCGGCCUGGGAGGGUGACCGGCCACAUUGGGACUGAGAUACGGCCCGUACUCCUACGGGAGGCAGCAGUGGGGGAUAUUGCACAAUGGGCGGAAGCCUGAUGCAGCAACGCCGCGUCCGGGAUGACGGCCUUCGGGUCGGAAAGCGCUUUCGCCUGUGACGAAGCGUGAGUGACGGUAAUUGGUAAAGAAGCACCGGCUAACUACGUG